CCUACGGGAGGCAGCAGUGGGGAAUCUUCCGCAAUGGGCGAAAGCCUGACGGAGCAACGCCGCGUGAUCGAAUGAAGGCCUUCGGGUUGUAAAGAUCUGUUGACAGGGACGAAUAAGCAAUGCGAAUAGUUUUGUGUAUGACGGUACCUGUCGAAUAAGCCACGGCUAACUACGUGCCAGCAGCCGCGGUAAUAGGUAGGUGGCAAGCGUUGUCUGGAUUUGCUGGGUGUAAAGGGCGGGUAGCCGGGCUGAAAAGUCAGAUGUAAAAUCCGGGGCUCAACCCCCGAACUGCAUUUGAAACGGUUGGUCUUGAGUAUCGGAGAGGCAGGCGGAAUUCCUAGUGUAGCGGUGAAAUGCGUAGAUAUUAGGAGGAACACCAGUGGCGAAGGCGGCCUGCUGGACGACAACUGACGGUGAGGCGCGAAAGCGUGGGGAGCAAACAGGAUUAGAUACCCCUGUAGUC
rnacentral:rRNA from 1 species